UACGUAGGGUGCGAGCGUUAAUCGGAAUUACUGGGCGUAAAGCGUGCGCAGGCGGUUUUGUAAGUCAGAUGUGAAAUCCCCGGGCUCAACCUGGGAACUGCAUUUGUGACUGCACGGCUAGAGUGCGGCAGAGGGGGAUGGAAUUCCGCGUGUAGCAGUGAAAUGCGUAGAUAUGCGGAGGAACACCGAUGGCGAAGGCAAUCCCCUGGGCCUGCACUGACGCUCAUGCACGAAAAGCGUGGGGGAGCAAACAGG
rnacentral:rRNA from 1 species